rnacentral:rRNA from 1 species
UACGUAGGGUGCGAGCGUUAAUCGGAAUUACUGGGCGUAAAGCGUGCGCAGGCGGUUCGCCGUGUCCGAUGUGAAAGCCCCGGGCUUAACCUGGGAAUGGCAUUGGAAACUGGCGGGCUGGAGUAUGGCAGAGGGGGGUGGAAUUCCACGUGUAGCAGUGAAAUGCGUAGAGAUGUGGAGGAACUCCGGUGGCGAAGGCGGCUCACUGGACCACAACUGACGCUGAUGCGCGAAAGCUAGGGGAGCAAACAGG